rnacentral:misc_RNA from 1 species
UACGGGAAUCCCCUUCACCUC